rnacentral:rRNA from 1 species
UACGUAGGGCGCGAGCGUUGUCCGGAAUUAUUGGGCGUAAAGAGCUCGUAGGCGGCCUGUUGCGUCCGCUGUGAAAUCCCAGGGCUCAACCCUGGGCGUGCAGUGGAUACGGGCAGACUAGAGUUCGGCAGGGGAGACUGGAAUUCCUGGUGUAGCGGUGAAAUGCGCAGAUAUCAGGAGGAACACCGGUGGCGAAGGCGGGUCUCUGGGCCGAUACUGACGCUGAGGAGCGAAAGCGUGGGGAGCGAACAGG